CCUACGGGAGGCAGCAGUAGGGAAUAUUGCACAAUGGGCGCAAGCCUGAUGCAGCCAUGCCGCGUGUGUGAAGAAGGCCUUCGGGUUGUAAAGCACUUUCAGCGGGGAGGAAGGCGUUAAGGUUAAUAACCUUGGCGAUUGACGUUACCCGCAGAAGAAGCACCGGCUAACUCCGUGCCAGCAGCCGCGGUAAUACGGAGGGUGCAAGCGUUAAUCGGAAUUACUGGGCGUAAAGCGCACGCAGGCGGUCUGUCAAGUCGGAUGUGAAAUCCCCGGGCUCAACCUGGGAACUGCAUUCGAAACUGGCAGGCUAGAGUCUUGUAGAGGGGGGUAGAAUUCCAGGUGUAGCGGUGAAAUGCGUAGAGAUCUGGAGGAAUACCGGUGGCGAAGGCGGCCCCCUGGACAAAGACUGACGCUCAGGUGCGAAAGCGUGGGGAGCAAACAGGAUUAGAUACCCCUGUAGUC
rnacentral:rRNA from 1 species